rnacentral:tRNA from 1 species
GCCUGGCUGGCUCAGUUAGUAGAGCAUGGGACUCUUGAUCUCAUUGUUGUAGGUUCAAGCCCCACGUUGGGUA